rnacentral:rRNA from 1 species
UACGUAGGGAGCAAGCGUUGUUCGGAUUUACUGGGCGUAAAGCGCACGUAGGCGGCUUUGUAAGUUAGAGGUGAAAGCCCGGGGCUCAACUCCGGAACUGCCUUUAAGACUGCAUCGCUUGAAUCCAGGAGAGGUGAGUGGAAUUCCGAGUGUAGAGGUGAAAUUCGUAGAUAUUCGGAAGAACACCAGUGGCGAAGGCGGCUCACUGGACUGGUAUUGACGCUGAGGUGCGAAAGCGUGGGGAGCAAACAGG